UUGGGGAGAAGUGAAUCAGUCUAGCUGAACGAAUCGCCUUAAAACGUUCAGUUGCAAGAAAUACGAAAGCCCGUAAGUCUGCCAGCUCCAUUAACAGGCAAUUGAGUGAUAAAAGGUUGGGAUCUGCAACCCUAAACAAAGCAGCUUCCCAAAGUUUCAGCAAGCUGAGCAAAGAGUUGUCUUAUAGGAAAAAGUAAGAUCGAUCUUCAGCCAAUUUCUGAGUCAUCUGAAGUCAGAUUGGCCUCUGCAGCCCAGAAUGUGCUUGGGAGAGAGCAUUCCCACAUUGGCAGAGGGGUGGAUUUGGUGACCUAAUCGUGUACCCCGCUCCUAUCUACAAUUUGAGUUCAUCCCAUCCAGGUAAGUGACUGCAGUCCACCCCCACCACAGCCACAGGUAACCUCAGCCUGUGCAACUACAGAAUUGUCUAACUGAAAAAUGCCAGCAUCUACAAAGGAUCUGCAGAGCGCAGCUGUUGGUUUCUGGAUCUGUGGUUAGGGAGGUGGCAGGCACAGCUCUUGGUUCCAGUCACACCCUUGAAAGAAACCUUCCCAUAAACUUCUUCUAAUGGAUGUAGAAGUUAUUUCAACUUCUGGGUGCCGUUCAGGAAGCGGGUGACGUCUUACAGAGCGUUCUUACAGAAUCAAAGCCAAAAAUGAUCUCACUCAAAUUAUUGUAAUAGUGGAUGGCUCCGUUCUGAUGCAGGCUAUGUGGGUUCACAGGUGCCAUCAAUAUGGCAAAGCCCCAUUGAGCUGUGCUCUGAGCAGGGCUCAGAAAUCCACAUUGCUUCUUUUGCAGCAAAACGUUUUCCUCUGUCCUUAUCUAACAUUCUUCCAUAGCCUGUCUGAAGCUACCAUGACUGACACAAAAAAAAAAGAAUUAAAAGAUUGAAACUCCAGAAUUGUUUAAGCAAUUAAGUUCACACAGCCCCACCGAACCAGGCUAAUUCUUUGUGAAGGACACCAGGCUAAUGACUGGCCCCUCCCUGGGUAACUGGCUUCACUUGGGAUCACUGCAGCAUGUAUUUAAGCAGGAAAGCAGCCAAGCAACCCCUCUCAGAAGACAGUAAAUUGUUUCUGUUCCUUUUGCUGUAGUCAACCAGAUUUCCUCUUGUAGGGACAACUAAGGAUAGAACAGCACAGUAGCUUUUGGGUUUUAGGAGUGGGAGAACUGUGAAUUGAAGAGAUGCUUAUGUUCUUCUGCACAAGAAAGCGACCUUCUUCUUAGGUGGAAGAGAGCUCCAGGAACUGGAGAACAGAUGACUGCACACCCACCAAAAAGCAAACAGUCUUCAGAGCCUUUCAGGGCUUGUAGGCAAACUUAGGCCUCAAAGCACUGCCUGAAGAAGUAGGACAUCCCCACUUCCCAUCAUGUGCUGCUGUCCUGCAUUGGAAGCACUCUUCAUCCAUCCCACUGUGCCUCUGCCUGCUGCCCUGUACCCAAAGGGAUUUUGCCAACCCCAAGGGAAGACACUGCCAGUGAAAAUGGACGGUGCACGCUGAGCUCCAAGGGUGCAGGAGCUGCCUGCAAGGACUUCAUCCAGCUCUCUGGGGCUGGGACAGCACACAGGGCUGAACCAAUAACUGCAGCACUGCCUGAGGGCUGGUGGCAGGAAGGCUUUCCAGCCAUCGCAAGCAUCAGUGUUUUGCCAUCCAAAGGGUCUGGAAAACCACCUCAGCCACAGACAGCAGUGCAGGCAGGCCCACGGGGCUUCCCCAUCUCCUCACUCCUCCAUGGAGCACAAACAGCUUCCUCAGACAACAGGAAUGCAGGCAGACUCCAAAUGCAUCAGUAAUAAGGAACUAAAAACAUGCAUGGAAAAGUUUGCACUACAGAAGAGCGUGGCUUAGCAUCAUUAAAGCCAUGAUCUAAAGCUGAGCAUUUUGUAAAGGAUCUUGAACAACUGAUGCUGGACAUGUUACCAAAAUUACUUAUUGAAACUCCCACCAUCUCAUCAGUAACUGCUGAAUGCUAAUUAAGGCAGAGCACAGCUGUGUGCCAUGCUCGUGCUUUAAAGCUCUUUGGAGCAGCAGGUGCUUCCCUGGGCAGGGUGAGUCACUCCAGGCUCUGGACUCACACUUCUCAUUUCAAGGGCUUGCAUACAGACUUGGUCUUCUGAGCAGUGGUUUAAUUUACAAGGAAUAGGACAAUGCAGAACUGCAAAACCCAGCUUAUCAACUCCUUUUUCAAAAGGACCAUGAGAGGUAAGAAACCUUCCUGAGAAGUUGAGACAAAGAACCAGACACAGAUCACCUCACAUCUUGCUGCAGUGUUCCCCAGGCUCUAAUAACCAAUUGGCAUUAAGUACUUCUAAUGUUUUGUGCUUAAGACCCCUGGAUUAGUCUUUUUGUUUUUUUCAGAAUCAUUGCAAUUUCUCUUUUCACCCUUGCCAAAGAGAUUUAAUACUGAUUGCACUUCUUAGCUUGCUUUGGAUUGAACGCAUGCAGGAGCACAAUCCAGUUUUCUACUAUGGCCAAGUGCUCCCCAUCCUGCCAGCUGGAUGUGGUGUGCCAGCCCCACAUCGCUCCCAUUCUGUGCCUUGAGAGCCACCUGGUGGAACACAACGUAAGAAAUGCUCCUACCAACUAAAGAGAACUCAAAUAAGCAUCCUGUGAAGAGCCUUGUAAUUAGACUGGGAAGCAGCAGCAGAUUGCAGGUUUUGCUGACUCCUAGCAGAGAAGCCUCCAAGCAGCUGCUCUGUAUGUAUAAAACAGGUCUGCCCACAGCAAGUACCUACCAGGGAGAUCCAGGAACAUGGUGGUGAGAGCAGUGAUAAGAGGUAAAUUCUUUGUUUUGCACUACGGAUUCCAAACCCACAGCCACUAUGUGGAUCUACCAUGCAAUAUAGUAUUUAAGAGUGUAUUUAAACAUAAUUAUGGCAUAUCAAACAUCACAUUGCUUCAGAUGUGUUAAUGUAAGGCUCCUGUCCUCAGCACCAAGCUGAGCCACUACCAAGCGAUGCCUUCAAGCUGCUGUUUCUGGCUGCACUCUGUAGCAGCACGCAUGCUGGGAACUGCAGCAGCAUUUUGUCCCAACUCACCAGCAGCUCUCAAUCAGCUGCAGCCAGCCGCUGCCACCUGAUCCUCAUCUACAAGUCCUUACAAGUUUUGCUGUUUGCUUAUGUUCCUGGUUCUUAAACACCUGCUACACAAAGCAGGCAUUUUAGGUUCUUCACGUUGUUUCUUUCCACUAUGCUUUAUUUCAGAAGCAUUAAGAACAUCUCUAAAAGCAACUCAACAAGAGGCUGCAAAGAGGAUUCACAAGACUGUUUUAAAAGCAGAAAAUGGUGCAAGCUCAGGCAUUCCUAAAUGAGUACAACUUGGAGAAAAGAUAAAACCUGAUGGAAGUUAAGCUUUUAGACUUUCUCAGAGCAGAUGGUAUUUCCAUCAAGCUUUUGGCUUACCUUCCUUUUUCACCUACUUAAUUUCACUACGAGAAAUAAAAAAAAGCCUAUAGGAACUGUGAACAGUUCUUUUCACUAUGCUUACAGCUUCCUUGCAAACAAGCAAUCAAGAAUAAAAUUUUACAGUUCUUAUCAGUCAUCAUAUCAGCCUAGCUCUUUGAUAGAGUAAUCUCCGACUGUAGACACGUUGCCACUCUUGUUUGUAAAUGUGGCUGAAUGAGAUGGAAUGGACAAGUUGUUAGAGGAGGAAGGGACCCUUAAAGGUCACU